rnacentral:rRNA from 1 species
ACUCAAAGGAAUUGACGGGGGCCCGCACAAGCAGUGGAGUAUGUGGUUUAAUUCGAAGCAACGCGAAGAACCUUACCGGGGCUUGACAUGGGGACGCCAGGCGUAGAGAUACGCCCUUCUUCGGACGUCCCACACAGGUGGUGCAUGGUUGUCGUCAGCUCGUGUCGUGAGAUGUUGGGUUAAGUCCCGCAACGAGCGCAACCCUUAUCAUUAGUUGCUACAUUUGGUUGAGCACUCUAAUGAGACUGCCGUUGGCAAAACGGAGGAAGGUGGGGAUGACGUCAAAUCAUCAUGCCCUUUAUGUCCCGGGCUACACACGUACUACAAUGGCAUUUAACAAUGAGUCGCGAACCCGCGAGGGGAAGCUAAUCUCCAAAAAGUGCCUCAGUUCAGAUUGCAGGCUGCAACUCGCCUGCAUGAAGUCGGAAUUGCUAGUAAUCGUGAAUCAGCAUGUCACGGUGAAUACGUUCCCGGGCCUUGUACACACCGCCCGU